CAGUAGCCGCGGUAAUACCGAGGGUGCAAGCGUUAAUCGGAAUUACUGGGCGUAAAGCGCGCGUAGGUGGUUUGUUAAGUUGGAUGUGAAAGCCCCGGGCUCAACCUGGGAACUGCAUCCAAAACUGGCAAGCUAGAGUACGGUAGAGGGUGGUGGAAUUUCCUGUGUAGCGGUGAAAUGCGUAGAUAUAGGAAGGAACACCAGUGGCGAAGGCGACCACCUGGACUGAUACUGACACUGAGGUGCGAAAGCGUGGGGAGCAAACAGGAUUAGAUACCCGAGUAGUCCCUGUCUCUUAUAC
rnacentral:rRNA from 1 species